CUCCCCCUCCCUGGCUGAAAAGAUGGCGCUCUCUAGGGUGUGCUGGGCCCGGACUGCUCGGUGGGGUUCGGUGGUCACCCAUGGACCUUAUGUCACCCGGAGGCUGCAACUUGUUCGCUCUGGACUGACCUGGGAGGCCCCUCGGUCUUCAAAGCUUCACCUUUCUCCAAAGCCAGAUGUGAAAAGCAUAAUGUCUUAUGUGGUGACGAAGACAAAAGUGAUUAAUGGGAAAUACCACCGUUUUUUGGAUCGUCAUUUCCCCCGCUUCUAUGUUCUGUACACAACCUUCAUGAAAGGAUUGCAGAUGUUAUGGGCUGAUGCCAAAAAGGCUAGAAGAAUAAAGAGAGAGAUGUGGAAGCACAAUGUAAAGUUUCAUCAACUUUCAUACCGGGAGAUGGAGCAUUUGAGACAGUUCCGUCGAGAUGUCACCAAGUGUCUCUUCCUAGGUAUUAUUUCCAUUCCACCCUUUGCCAACUACCUGGUCUUCUUGCUAAUGUACCUGUUUCCUAGGCAACUACUGAUCAAACAUUUCUGGACCCCAAAGCAACAAAUUGAUUUCUUAGAUAUCUAUCAUGCUAUCCGGAAACACUCCCACCCAGAAAUCCUUUGUUAUUUAGAAAAAAGUAUCCCUCUCAUUUCUGAUGCGGGACUCCGGUGGCAUAUGACAGAGCUAUGCACCAAGAUACAGCGUGGCACCCACCCAGCAAUACAUGAUAUCCUUGCUCUGAGAGAGUGUUUCUCUAACCAUCCUCUGGGCAUGAACCAACUCCAUGCUUUGCAAACCAAAGCCUUGAGUCGAGCCAUGCUUCUCACACCUUACCUGCCUUCUUUCGUGUUGAGACACCGUUUAAAGACUCAUACCACUGUGAUUCACCAACUGGACAAGGCUUUGGCAAAGCUGGGGAUUAACCAGCUGACUGCUCAGGAAGUGAAAUCGUGUUACAGGCUUGUUAUCUUCGUGGCUUGAAUUCUACCCUUAUUGCUGAAGAGAGGUGUCGAACUUGGCUGGCAGAAUGGCUGAAGAUUUCCUGCAGCCUGAAAGAAGCUGAGCUGUCCCUUUUACUACACAAUGUGGUCCUGCUUUCCAUCAACUACAUUGGGACAAGGCGCUGAGUGAACAUGGAGCAGAUGGCAUUGUCCUGCCAUCACAGUACAGCAGCGUGGGACCAAACAGCACUUGUCAGCAGAAUCUGUUCGCAUUGUUUGAUGUGUGAGGCAGAAAAGCAGGUGCCACAGGCUUCAGUGUGGUACCCAUGUGGGGGUUUGAACUGAAACAAACCCUCUUUCCAGAGGUGGCCCACCUGAGGUAUCAUCCAGCUUCCUUGGAAUUAGCUGGAACUAGAAGCAGCCACUGUACUGGGCUUUUACUGUGACGUGUUAAGUUCAGAUCCUGAGAAGUGCUUUUGCAGGUGACAAUCUUCAUUUGGCCUGGAACUUACCCACUGCCGUCUUCUUUUGAGCUGUAUUUUUAUUAAAGCCAGUUUUCUGGCUGGUGAGGGGAACAGCACUACUUAAACUGGAGCACUUACAUGCAUGUGUUUCGAUGCUCCCCUUAACCCUGAGAUGACCAAAAAUAGGGAUUUUUUUUGUCCCCCUCACUGGGCUAACUAACCUCUUUCCUCUUCAAAUCCUUUUACCACCUUUAUUUUUUUUCUCUCCUUUCUUUAGUGAAUAAUUUAUGGGAACAUUCUAAUGAAAAAGAUAAAAGGAAAUAACAAGUGCUUCUUGAUCCCUUACCCAGUGUUUACAGCCUUCACACUCUUGUCUUAAUUUUUGGGCUGUGCUACAACCCCUGUGGACAAACUCUUUGCUGCCAACACUGGUUGCAGCCAUCCAACUGUAUUGACAGUAGCUGCCUUUGAGCCAUGGAUCAAACCUGUAUGGUACUAAUUACUGUCCAGCCCAGGAGACUGGGAGAGAUCUGCAUCAAGAUAGUAAGCUUGGUUUAACUUUUGUCUUUGUAUGUACAUCAGUGACCUGUAGUAUCUUAAUGUAAAUACAUUAAGCAUGGUUUUUAAACCCAAGUAGACUGUCUGAAAUCAAUUGCUGGAAAUGAAUCCUGAUGCAUACUCUAAUCAUUUUGCUAAGGCUAUUGUACAAGACUGUCGUAACCUAACUAAUGGAAAGAUAAUUGUUUGGAGUAGAACUUUUUUUUGGUACGUGCCCCUAGUGGGAACCGAACCCAGAACUCUCUGGUCCGUAGGCCGACGCUCCAACCGCUGAGCCAAACCGGCCAGGGCUGGACUAGAACUUUCUGAUGAUAUGGAAGUUAUGAAGGAACUGAUUAGAAGUUGAUCCUCUUUUUGGACUUUAAGUGGAAACUAGGAAGAAAACUUCACAUAUAGAUACAGAGAGGAAGUAAUGCAAUUAGAAGAUGGGCCCCAAGAGUAGGGACUAGACAGGGAGAAACCCCAGCAGGGCAGGACCAAGGCUGUUUCAGCUGAUGAGGUGCUAAGUGCGCACACUGCAAGGUAAGCUAUUGAUGCUCCAAAGAGAACUUUGUAAUUUUCCACCAUGAAACAUUUAUGUGGUUAACAUCAAUUCCUAACUGACCUAAUUAAUUUUAUAUACAAGGCUAGAGAAACAUCCUUUUUCUAACAAGUAACUAGAUUGUGCCCUGCCAAGAUAAAGAAUAACACACCAGGAUGUGAGGGCGAUCUGGCUGCGACAUCUGUCACCCCAUUGAUUGCCAGGGUUGAUUUGGCUGAUCUGGCUAGCUGGGCGGGUGUCCCCCUCCUCCUCAACUGAUCCAUGUUCGUCCCUCCCGAAGCUGGGCGCUUGGUCGAAGAGGACCUUCUCCCCAGAGGAGAGGACCGGUCUUCGGUCAAGGGUAUACCCGUACCUGCGCUCCCCUGCUAGAACCUCCAAACCAGCUCUCAAAGAAUAACACACCACUCUUUUGAGUAUUUCUUUAAUAUUACAUUUAAAUAUUCUCUUUAAAUACAGCAUUAUCACAAUGUAAAGGACCUAAAAGGAAAAAAAAAAAAAUGUUUUCAGAGGACCAGACAAGCUUUGGAUUCACAUUGAAAAUACUACCUGUAUAUAGUGAGAAAGGAAAUUUGAAAAUAAUGAGUUGCAGUAAGUCAUUUAUCUAGGCCUGGACUAAGCGGGAUUGAAGCUGUCUGCUUCUGUGAGGCCUAGUUUUUCUAGCAACCAUGACCUCUAAUUGUGUCCAACUCAGGUAGCACCAAAAAUGAGAUGUACUAGGUUGUAGAAAAGGCCCUUUGCUUAACACCAGUUAAUGCUAAAUGUUAAAAUUUAGCACUUAAAAGUUUGGGAUUAGUGUGAGUCAGAAUUGUCAAGUUAGUGAAGGAUUUAGAUUAAGAAACUAGUUUCUUCAGAAAAAUUAUCUUGGGAGUUGACAAUAAGUUUAAUAAUUAGAUUAAAAUUAUUGGUUUGAUCCCAAAGGCUAAUGUGUCUCUUAUUGAGCAAAUGGAGUCACUUAAGAGAUGAGGAAUCCUUCCUAAGGAGAGAAUGUAUAGAGCUCACCCUUCCCUUCCAACACAAACUUUCAGAAAGAUUCUUCUCCAGUCUUGUAUUUGACGGGACUGGUGUAAGGUGGUGGAGUGCGGUUCAGUUUGGGAUAGCAUCUAUAUUUCAGGUACCUAAGAAGCACAACUCUGUCUUGUGAGGUUAGAGGAUGGGGAGCGUUAAGGACCUCUAUACUUAAGAACUCUCCUCCAAACCCUGCAAAAAACGGGAACGGGAAGCAGAAUGGGUUAAAUGAUGUAUCUGUGUUAAGUACAAGGCCUAACAGGCUCAGUUUAGCAAUUUUACAGGUGAAAUGCUGCUGACAUACUGAAGGUUGCUUUAAGACAGACACCAAGACCUUAAUAUCCCACAAGAAAAGACUUUAUGAGCAAUAAGUAGGAACAGUUAUCUCCCCCACCAAAAAGUUUUUCACUUUGUUCUUCCCUGAUUAAUAAACCAUACCAGAAGUGAAGCAAGGUGUAAAGGAUGUUAGUGUUUUGCCUCCCUAGUCUCCAUUUUAAAACAAAGAUAACUUUGCCAGUGAAUUCCAUGGUGUUCAAUGGAGCACAUCUGGGAACAUAAGCGGGAUAUGAGGGGAAUAGGAAUGGCAUCUCCAAAUAGAAGUAAGAACUGAAUUUGAGCCCCACUCUACAGUACUCAAAGCUUAUCAUCAGAUCCUGAAUUCUUUGGAACCUGGGAGUUGCAUGUAGCAUUUAAGAAUUGGCUUGGCUUCUAAUUUUUAUAUAUCAAGAUGGAGGCGUCUAAUAAAUACUUGCAAUUCUUGAGGAUGAACUGGAAUAGUAUAAGAACUCCAACCCUGUAUAUCCAGGGACCACACCAGGGUAGAUACAGGGGGAAAAAAACCCACUGGUGACCUUAGAUUGCCACAUCUUAUAUUCCUUUAAAGCUCAAAUCUCCCAAAGUUGGGGGGGGGGGGGGACCUGGGUGAAAGCAAGCAUAGCACAAAGUCAUCUAUCCAGACAGCAGCCUGUUCCUGCUGCCUCCUUUGGACACAGUUAACACUCAUAUGUCUCCUAUGGGACAUGUGAGCUCAGCCUGUAGCUGCCUGACAGAGCUAGUGUUAGACACACACAGAAGACACAGGCUUAUACCA